rnacentral:lncRNA from 1 species
AGGAAGAAUGUAAUAUUAAUUGUUAUAUUGAACAUAGAAUGGAGUCUUUAUACUCCUGAAUUGCUGAAAUGGGAAGAAUGCAAUAGUAUUUGUUAUAUUGAACGUAGAAUGGAGUCUUUAUACUCCUGAACAGGGGCUGCCUUGACCUGAAGCUAAUGCUUUAACCAACUAUACUGCUUACCCAUAUGUCACAAUUGUAACAUUAUCAGGCUUAGGGAGCUCAAGGGUGACAUGAAAUUUUAUCUAAUAACAACUAAAAUAAGAGGCUCUCGAUAAGUAAUGAUAUUAUAAUGCUGCAGCUAAGCUUUCCACUCUCUAGAACUAUAAACAGGUUUUACCUUAUGUAAAUAGACCAAAUUAACAAUAACAAUGGAAUUAACUAACUAGACACACAUAAGCUUAUAGCAUAUCAAGAACUUUAAUAAUGAGUCUUAUUAAAUCAUCCAAUCAGAAAACUCAGAAACUUACUUUUAAUGGAACAGAGAGGUUCGCAAUCUGCGUGAUUGCUUCAGCAAUUCCAUGAGCAUACCAAGGGUAAAAAGAAGAACUUAGAAUGUUAAUCCACCUAGAAUGCUAGAAAAGAAAAAUCAAAAUGUAGAUUAAGGUGAUAUUCUCUUCUCUUGACUCGUAUGCAGAAAGAAUAUGGUCAUUAACAUGUGACAGACUAAACAAACAUGUUUACCUUAAGUUUAAAAGGGGUGGAGAAACACCAAAAGAAGAAAAAGAAAAGAAACUACUCAUUAUUACUUUGAUGAGGCAAAUGAAACAUCAUAUAUAGAGGUAGAUUAUGUUAGCUUACGAGCAAGUCAAGUUUAUUUAACUAAGUUCUCAUUUCAGACACUUUUGCCUAGCCUUUAUGAUAGAUUAUAGUAAAUCUAGCCGGUUCAAACAAUUUAUUUAAGUAAUUGGCUUAACAUUUUCAUGGUAAGUUGAUUGGGCGUCCAUGAAAGCAACUCGAUCUCAUAGCUUGUUUUUGGAAGAAAUUUAUCUAAUUCAGUUCCACAAAGCCAUUCAGCAGAUUAUACAAUCACAGCAUUGGAUGGGUCCUGACAUUCAAUAAAUUAUCGAUGGCUUUGCAUUAUACUAAGUAGGCAAUCUGACGAUGAUAUACCUGAAUAAUUAACUUUUAAAUAACCUUACAUAGUGUCCACACAUAUAGAUAUUUUGUAAAGCUCAAUAGCUGCAUAUCAUUUUCAAUCUUGUUUGUUAAUAUAUAUCCUAAAAAAGUAACUAGGCUGACUUUAUUAUAGGCAUUAAAACCUCAAUUUUUUUUAAUCAGCUCAAUGAAUUUUUCGGAAUGUUCUUUUCUCUGCCUUCCCCUCGCUACUAUUUUUAAAUGUUGUCCUUCUCCGCCUAAUUUGACAAGUGUUCAAGACUCCUAUCUUUACUAUUUUUAUACACGUAGACUAUAGAAUGCAGAAGGGCUGGUUGCUGUAGAAUUAAUUCUUUAUACACACAAAUUAACAAAGGCAGUGUUUCACGCGGGUUCGUCGCUAACAAUUAAAAAGGGAUCAGACGAUUGUGUAAGAAACAAACCUCUUGAGACGAAAUCCCAAAAAGGGGCGUUUUUAUUGGCGAUGACUUUACAAUCGGAAAGUAAAAACAGAAUGCCUCUAAGGGGCGCAAGCACACGAGUUACUGAAAGAAGUGUUUAAAUCUAAAUUAAGAAAUUUAAAGUUACAUAUUCUCUGUUCGAGAGUCUUUUGAUUCGGUCCUUUUACUCUAUGUCUUUUCUUCCUUUUAUACUCACUGGAUAAUCUCUUUGUGAUCAACCGCCUAAAAACUGCUUGAUCAUUCCAUAACUACCCACUUUCCUCGUAAUGGCCAACUUGUCAUGGAACUGCCUUUUUUAACUGCUGCCAUUACUCUUUGUCGUUCAACCGUCUUCAAUUGAAUUCCUUGAAUCGAGGAACGUGAUAGGGCUACUUAAUAACUGCUUUGAUAACUGCGUUUCUUGAUAAUCAUAACACUUCAUGUUUGCUAAGACUUUGGGCUACUUGGAGUUUUGGGCGAGAAUAAAGCAGCAGCUCUGGGCGAUUGUAUAGCACUCCAUUCGCUCAGAUCCUAAGCGACUUGCAAGUUUGGGCGAUGGUGUUAUUGUGUUCUUGGGCCUCCCUAUUUGGGCCUUCAUCCUGAAUUGUCUGAUUGGGCUUCGUUCUUUGGGCUAUUGGGCUAUCUGAUUUGGGGAUCCUCCAAUUGGGCUUCAUUCCUUGGGCCGUUCGAUUUGAGUUGAAUUUUUAUGUGUCAACAAUUACCCCCCAAUAUGGCAGAAUUAAUACUAAUUAUUAAAUUUUGCCUUAUUCACUUUGUGUUUCCAGCAACAUUCAAAAUUCUCAAGAAUUUCAAUCAUUGUUUUCUUCCAUAACUUGAAAAGAUGCGACGUUUUGCAAACCCUUAUAACCCCCAAAUACGUCAUUUCACUGCACCAUUAAAUCACGCCUCACUUUUUUGCCCUUCUCUCUCACAAUUUUACUGUUCAUCUCUUUGCUUCCCUGCUACGUAACUCUAAAAAACUCCAUUUCGUCCCCAAUGGCUACUUUACAAUCUCAAUCUGGCGUCUCCUUUAGUUUUGAAGAUUUUCAGAAACUCCUUAAUCGCGGAUACAUAACUCCGAACUUUCUCGCACCUGCCAAUGUCGAACUCAAUGAGUUCUACCUAGGUCCCUUCUUCAACAAUGCAGAGGCAGUCGAACAAGCGGCGGUGGGCCAGCUAUUUCCUUGUACUCAAGGCCCCCCAUUUCUAAACUCUCUGCCGCUGGGGCCACUUCGCGAAAGAGGUUUUCACACUUGGCCUAAAUCUGAUGUAGUUUUCCGUAGGUGGCAUGCUCGCCUUGCAGACCAUGGUCCUACUAAGGUAUUUUUUGAUAAUGCUAGGAUUUCUGAUUUAUUAGAAAUCUCUCUUCAAUCCCCUACUUUUGAUUCAACACUUUUUUCGAUCGCUUUAAGUUUUUGGUCUUCUGAAUAUAAUAUCUUUGUUUUCCCUCUUGGCCCCAUGUCUAUUGCUUUAAGGGAUGUUGGGGCCCUAGUGAAUCUGCUACCUUUGGGCGAUACCAUUUUUCCUGGUAUCUUGGUUUCUGGUGGUGCCCCAAAGUUUGGUAAAAAUCUCACCGAGUCUUACUCAAGCCUGCAAACCCUUCAUAACCACUCGAGCGCUGAGCCUUCCCAUACUGAGCGAGUGGCCUUUCUUCUGGUUUGGCUUUGUAAAUAUGUUUUGUGUGUACCAAGCAUAAAGCCCUCCCUGAGCUAUUUACCCAUAGCGCACGAAUUGGCGCGUUGUAGGCCUCUAAAUUUAUGUUCUUUCUUUUUGGCUGCCCUCUAUAGAGGCAUGGCUUCUCUUCAAUCUCAAUUGAAGAAUGGUGCAUCUCCCACUGGCAGUGGAUAUCUUUGGUUCACUCAAAUGUGGUUGAGAUCCUAUUUUCCAUCGCUUGGUGCUCCAUCAUUUUCUCGUCCUUCUGCUAGCUACUAUGGGCUAGCCAUUGAGCCCCUGGCUCCUGUAAAUAUGUCUGGAAGGGACAUUUUUUCAUUCUUUUAUUCUUUGGAUUCAAUCCCUUCCUUCUUUCCUUUUCCUCCCUUUUUAACUCUAGACUAUGUGCAUCCUCCCUCCACUAUAGACAGCGUGAGCACCUCUCUGCUCAUUUGGAUCCAAUUUUUAACCGGGAGGGAGUUAUUUCAUGAUAUUUUGAAUGGGACCAAUGCCAAGGCUGGGGUAGAAAUAUAUGCUCCCCAAUUUUUUGCUCGCCAACUUGGUUUCGGCCAAACUUGGCCUGUUCCUCCUUGCUAUUCAAGGAAAUUGGUAGACCGCUUCCAUAUUAUUAAUAAGGCGGAGGCAGAGGUUAUAAAUGCUCGCAAUCUUCUUUUGACGAGCCAUUUUUCAUUAGCCCCCUUCAAUUCUAGCCGUGGCAUCUAUCCUCUUUUUGAACAACUCUGACCGUCAGUGAAGCGCAGAUUGUUUGCGACUGAUGCCAAUCGUGCCUUUCAUUCACUGGAUCGGUUGAGCAUUUCUUCUCCUCAUCUUAUUUUAGUCGCCCCUUUGUCCAUCCGGAGUCUUUCUCCUCCUUGUCACGCUAAACAUUCUACUCGUCCAUCUUCUUCUCUCCCUGCCAAGCCUACUACAGCCAAAAGUGCUCCGAGCCGCAAACGGCCAGCCUCAGCAUCUCCCAUUCUGGAAGAUGAUGUUGAUGAUGAUGAUGAUACCCCUCUUAUCAUCAGGAGGAAGGUAAUUAAAUUGGCUUACUCAUAAGCAUACUUUUUUAUGCUUGAAACUUUUCUGUGUGCUGAUGGUUUAUUUGGACUUGUCAGAAAAAUUCAGCCUCUCCUUUGAAGGCUUUGGUUUCGACAGCUCCUGCUCCAUCAUCCUUCCCUGAGGCUGCUUCAUCCAAACCAGCUGAUGAAGGGACUACGCUUAAAGAAACAUCUUCAGUCCCAGAAUCCUCAUCACAACCAAUGGAUGAGCCAUCUUCUUCCCAGGGCGUCGACCCCCCAAACAUCGAAGCAGAAGUUAAUUCUGUUUUUUGAUGCUUUACCUUUGCUUAUGCUAUUGGUUUCUGACUUGUUGCUUUGAGUUCUGCAGAUGCUCCUAUGAGUUUGCCACUUGUGGCAACAUCUUUUUGCUUAGACAAGGGGAAGUCCUCACGAAUGGUGGAGCCACAGGUGGCAGAUUUAGCUGGGGAUAUGCCGUCUUCCAAGAUUAUUGAUGAGGUAAUCUUUGCUUCACUUUUACUUCCAUCUUGUUCGUUGUAGCGAGAAUCUUCAAUAUUGACAAUUUUUCUUUGCAGGAUAUUGAUAAGAUUGUGCGUUCCAUCCAAGACUUGUUCGCUUCCUGGGGGCAAGUCAAGACAUCUCGCCCUGCUCCAGCUGCUCAUCCUGCUACUUCUUCAGAGGAAGUUAUGAAGUUCUUCAAGCAGUCCAUAUUCGAGUACGUGUCCGUCAUGGAUAUGGACAUUGGUAAGGCUAGUGCUGCUAGACAUAGGGAUAAACUUGAGCAUUUUAAUGCGAAGUUGGAGCAAGCACUGACACUUCCGUCGCUCAAUCUUUCUGCUGAUUCUAAAGUGACGUUGAAGGUUAUCCACUCUGAGGUCCUCUCCUUGCUGGCCAAGAAUGUUGAACUGAAGGCCAAAAGUACUCAAUAUCUUCGCGCCGUAUCUGAAAAAGAGUAUUUGCUUCUGGAGAUCGACAAAGCUGAGGACGAGUUGAAAGAAAUCUCUUCCGAAGUCAUGAUUGAAGACUCUUUGAUGGCUAGUUUGGCUACUCAGAUGAAGGAACUUCAAGCCAAAAUGGACGACUGCAAGGCGAGAAUGGCUGCUAAAAAGUGUAACGCCUCCCAAGGAAUUGAGCGAACUAAGUCUUUGGUCGAGCAGUACAAGAAGUUGGAAGUUGAUGACGAUGUUGUGGCUGAAUUGAACAUCACUUCCUCUCGGCAGAACGAGGACUGGGGAAAACUUAGGGAAAUAAUUCGUUCGGUAUGGGGCGAAUUGUAAUUAAGACAUAUAAUGCCUUAACUUUUUCUUUUUUCUAAUUUCGCAUUUGACUUUCCCUUUGUAACCUUGUACAUCAUUAAUGAACAUCUACGUUAACUUCUUGUGCAUUUAUUUGACGUUUGUCUUUUAAACGCCAAUCCUUCAAGCAUUUAACUGCUUUAUGCUAAAAUCUUGCACAUUUUCUCUUGAUAUUUCCACCUCUCUUCCCAAGACUUUGGGAUACUUAAUUCUAUUUACUAGGCAGAAUGUGGCUGCUCAUAUUCUGUCUCUUCAUCUCCAAUCCCCUAUAAAUGCACGUAUGCUUCGCACUUUCCAUCUUCCAUCUUCAUUUUCAUUCUCUUCUUCGAAACCAAUUUGCUGUCAUUGUUUGGCAUUCUGACAAUCAAUCCAAAACCUUCGUCUUCUAUAAAAAUGGAUUGUUUGGUCCGCCCAUUUUACUACUUGUCUUGAUGUCACCUUUGGUAUGGGAGAUAUAGGAAAUAUUUUUUGGCCAGCAGCAAAGUUUUUUCCAUCGAAGUUCUUCCCAUCGUCUCUUUGUUCUUUACAAGGGGUUCAAUGAUGGAAGGCAAUUUUUGGGAUGCUUGCGGGCCACCUUGCUUGCUGAGAGUUCUUCUUAGCCUCUUUGCCCGCCAUUGUAGCGAUGCAUUUAGGAAGGCGGUGCAAGGUCAGUCCACCCUCUUACUCGGUGAUCGACCGAGAGAUUAGCUUGCUUUUAAUUGUAGCUUGUAGAGCAUCUAUUAUUUGUAUCUUGUAACUUUGUAGUGAAUGUUUGAUAAUAAAGAAAUUUAUUUGAACGUAUUUCUCUCUAACCUUUUUAUCCGUAAUCGUUCAACAUGUUUUGAUUAUGCUUUUAUCUGUUCACUUUCCCAUAAAGAAGGAACAUAUUUUUUCAAAUAUUUUCCAUUGAUGAAUCUCAAGUGCUUGGUGUCAUCUAAAUCUUCCAAAUGAUAUGCUCCAUUAGGCAACACACUGUUUACUUUGUAUGGUCCUUCCCAAUUAGGCGACCACUUCCCGUAUUUUGGAUCCUUACUAUCCAAAGGGAGUAUCGUCUUCCAAACUAAUUUGCCCAGGUUGAACGACUUGACUAUGACUUUUUUAUUAUAAAACUUAACCAUUCUUUGUUUUUGAACUUGCAAUCUAUCUAGGACGUCCAACUUUAAUUCGUCCAACUCCAAUAAAUUUUGAACUAGUGAUUCAGCAUACUCAUCAUCAUUUAACUUAUGUUGUAAUCACACUCUAAUCGAUUGCACGUUGAUUUCCAUAGGCAAAAUGGCCUCCUGUCCAUAAGUAAGUUGGAAAGGAGUAAUUUUGGUACUUGAUCGAGGUGAUGUUCUAUAAGCCCAUAAGGCCUUAUCCAGACAUUCGUGCCAAUUUCUGGCAUUUUCAUCUAUCAUCUUUCUGAUGAUAUUUUUUAGAAUCUUAUUAGAAGAUUCUGCUUGUCCAUUGGAUUGAGCGUAAUAUGGUGUGGAGUUUACUAAUUUAACCCCAAACUCGCUCAAAAAUUUGUUCACUUGAUCCCCAUUCAAAGAUGUUCCAUGAUCUACCAUCAACGUUUGUGGAAUUCCAAAUCUAUAAAUGAUGUGAUCACGGAUAAACUCUAUGACAUUCUUUUGGGUGAUCUCUUUCAAAGGUAUCGCCUCUACCCAUUUGGUGAAAUAGUCGGUUGCAACUAUAACAAAAGUAUAUUGCUUGGACGAUGGGGGAUAAAUCUUCCCUAUUAAGUCUAUCGCCCAACAUUUGAACGGCCAAGGUUUAAUAAUAGGUGCCAUCUCUCGUGCUGGCGCUCUUUGUAUUGGACCAUGCUUUUGGAAUGCUAAACAACUCUUUGCAUACUGAACGCAUAAUUCUCCCAUCUUUGGCCAAAAAUAUCCACUCCUAAUAAUUAACCAUCUCAUCCUUUGGCCAGCUUGAUGAGCUCCACAUAUCCCUUCGUGCACCUCAGCCAUGAUCGUCCUGGCUUCUUGCAAACUUACACACUUUAGCAAUGCACCAUCAGAACGUUUCUUAAACAACUCUUCAUCUAUUAGUGUAUAGUUCAGUAAACACAGCUUCAUUUUCCUACUAAUCCUUCUAUUAGGUUUUUUAAAGAACCCUUUAAUCUCCGUACUCCAAUCCAUUGCAUCUCCAGCUUGUAUGCAAUGAAGUUCGAUCCUUCUCGCCCUUCUUUGGGUCACAGGCAAUAUGUUUCCAUACUCACAAGUAGACUUCCAAUUCAAAACCUUUGAGUACCCUGAGGCCAUUUGGGCUAACUCAUUUGCCAGGUCGUUAUAUAUCCUAUUAACGCAUUGAAGUUCUACUUGGUCGAAUUCUUCUAACAAUUCUUGGGCGAUCUCAUAUUGACUUAUAAUAGAAUCGCUUUGGCAUUUAAAAUCACCAAUCAAUUGGUGAAUUACCAAUUGAGAAUCGCCCCUAACGAUCACAUUUUUUACUCUCAUAUCUAUCAUCAGUUCUAGGCCUACAAUUAAGGCUUCAUAUUCGGCCUGAUUGUUGGUGCACAUCCUGUCUAAAGUGAACGCAAACUUGUAGCAAAUCCCUAAAGGAUUAAUCAAUACUGCUCCUACUCUUGCACCUUUAGAGGUUUUUGACCCAUCGAAAUACAACAUCCAAGGUUUUAGCUCGAAAGAAUUGAUCUCUAAUUCAAUUUCUUCAGGCAUGCCAAGGCAUGGAUGAUCGGCUAGAAAGUUAGCCAAAGCCUGAUUUUUGACUGCCUUUUGAGGUAUAUAUUGUAUCUCGAAUUCUGAUAAAGCUAAUGUCCAAAGGCCUAUCCUUUGGUGUAAAAUAGGGUGAGAUAACGUAUACUUAACUAAAUUUACUUUAGAAAUUAAGUAAACGGUUAUGGGCCGUAAAUAAGCCCUUAAUUUUGUACAUGUAAAAUACAACGCAAGACAUAAUUUUUCGAUAGCAGAGUAAUUAUAUUCACAUUUUGUUAACCGCCUACUUAAGUAGUAAAUUGCCCUCUCUUCACCAAAUUGGUCUUCCUGCGGGACCAUUACAGCUAUUGAUUCUUUUUCAGCCGAUACGUACACUUUCAUUGACUGUCCUUGGACUGGUGACACCAACACUGGUGGGCUUGAUAAAUAUAUCUUCAGGCUUUCAAAAGCCUUUUGAUGUUCUUCUUUUCAGACGAAUUCGUCCUGAUUUUUCAGCUUUAAAAGCGGCGAAAAGACUUUAGUUCGCCCUGCACAGUUAGAAAUAAAGCGUCUUAAAAAGUUUACUUAGCCUAGAAACCUUUGCAAUUCUUUUUUGUUGCUAGGCGGUUUGGCCUCUAAAAUGGCCUUCGCUUUAUUUUUAUCAAGUUCAAUCCGUCUUUUGUGUACCAAGAAACCAAGAAAGUUCCCUGCAUUAACACCAAAUGCGCAUUUAAAGGGAUUCAACUUUAGCUUAUAUUGCUUCAUUCGGUCAAACGAACAUCUUAACUAUUCGAAAUGGUUCUCUUCUUUAAUGGAUUUGACCACUAUAUCAUCUACAUAUAUUUCAACAAACUUGCCUAUCAUAUCAUGAAAGAUUAAAUUUAUUGCCCUUUGAUAAGUUGCUCCUGUAUUUUUUAGGCCGAAAGGCAUGACCACCCAUUCAAAACAUCCUAGAGACCCAGGGUAUCUAAAGGCAGUUUUGUGUAUGUCUUCUUCAGCUAUAUAAAUUUGAUUGUAUCCUGAAUACCCAUCCAUGAAAGAAUACAUGACGUGUCCGGCAGUUGAGUCUACUAAAGAAUCUACUGUGGGCAUUGGAUACUCAUCUUUGGGUGUAGCUAUGUUUAAAUUCCUAAAAUCUAUGCACGCCCUUAGUUUACCAUUCUUUUUUAGUACUAGCACGAUAUUGGACAACCAUUCGACAUACCUGGCUGUUCUAAUAAAGCCUGCUUUCAAUAAUCGCUCGAUCUCUUUCUUAAUCUCGGGGAGUACAUUAGGAGCAAAACGUCUAGGAGACUGCCUAUAGGGUUUAAAAUUAGGCUUAGUUGGUAACCUAUGUUUCACCAAGUCUCUAUCUAAACCAGGCAUUUGUUCAUAUUCUCAAGCAAAACAAUUUUAUACUCUUUUAACAAAGCGAUUAAUUUAUCACUAACCUCUUGAUUGAGCAUAUGGCUGAUGAAUGUUGGACGAUCUUCUCCUUCAUUGCCAAUAUUUACUUUGAUCAGAGGGUCUUGUCCUUGAACAUAUCCAGGUUUGAUUAUCCGCAUCACUUCGUCGUCCAGUCCCCUUGUAAGUACUUCUUCUUCUAAACAGUCCACCUUGUUGACUUCUCGGCUAAUGCUUUGUUCUAACUCGAAUACUGCCCAUUUUCUUUUAGCGUUCUUAGGGCUACCUCUUCUUUCGUUUUGUCCUUGCAUUCUUUAUUGAAAGCCAUUAAUCUGACUUAGAAGGCUUGAACAUCGGCCAUCUACUUUUGUGGCUUAGAAUCCAUUCAAGACUCCUUGAUUAUUCUUUUGCCAAUUACUGGCUCUUCUAAAACCACUAUUUUUGGUCUCAUUUGGCUGAACAUUUCAGUCAGUGCGUCCACUAAAAAUGGCUCUUCACUCUGCACGACGAUCUGAGUUUCUUCCCCAUAUUGGACUACUCUGACAUGUCCAUAGUUUCCUUCAUACAUGAACCUUUCCACUGAGUUUGCUUCUACGAUAAAAGGCCUAUGAUCAGCCUGCACCACCUCUGCUUUACCCUUGUUGUUCCAAAAGACCAGGCAUUGAUGGAGUGAUGAGGGUAUGCAGCGACUCCCAUGUAUCCAAUCUCUUCCUAGUAAUACAUUGUAACUAGUAGGACCAUCUAUUACAAAGAAGACUAUGGUCCUAGUAGUUGUCCCUAUAGUUAUGUCCAAUGGCAUAACUCCCUUAGCUGAAGUUGCUCCUCCAUUGAAACUCGUAAGAAUGACUUCUGUUGGAAUCAUGUCACCCUCUGUCUUUGCAAAUUUCCUCAUCAUCCUAGAUGGAAUGGUGUUUAUAGCUGCACCAUUGUUGACAAGCACUUUUGCCACAGCGAUGCCGUUAACUAGAGCUUUAACGUACAACAGCCUCAAGUGUUUAGUCAAUUUCAUGGUUGUCCGUUUAAAGAUAACCUUUUCAGCAGCUUCUAUUUCUACUUCCUGCUUAUUUUCUAUCGAAUUAUCACCCUGUGAUAAGUCGACGUGCAGCAUAUCGCGCUGAGCUUUCGUCUCCUGAGUUUCCUCCUUACUGUUUUCUAACGCUUCUUCAUUAGUUACCCAACUUGUGGGAGGUGGCAUUAUUCUUGAAGGUGAUCCAUGCUUUUUAGAGCGAGGCACUCUCUCUUCCUUUUGGGUGUCUCGUACAGUACGUAGAAAUCGAAAGAACGCCCAGAUGGUUCUCCCAACAAGUCUCCUUCGCGCACUCCCUCUCGAUGUAGUUACUUCAACAGAGUAUUGUGCGAUACUCCUCUCCUUCUUCUUUCUGCUUCUAGGUCGAUUUCUUCUUCAAUGUCUGUCAUUCCAUUGUCUUCUUCAUCAUUGUAGGCCUCUCUAGAAGUCUGGCCUUCUUCACAUUCCAGCACGCAAGCCUCUCCUCCGUUAUCCUCCCUUUCUUCUUCUUCCUUUUCUUUAUUCUUGAAUUCAUUGUCCAGUAAGUAAUUAUUAACCACGACAGGAGGUAACGUACCGAACUGGAUAGUAAGGGGCUGAUCUGGAUCUUCUCCAUCCCUUUUGUCUCGCUCAAACUUUGAUCUCCCAGAAGAAGUUUCUGGCAGUUCUUUCAUUGAUUAAUUUGUACCGGUCUCUUCACUAUCUUUGAGAACAUUUUGAUUGGCUACCUUAAGUAGUUUAGGCGCAAUAGGAUGUGGCACUUCCUAUUGUUGUCUCAUCAUUCGUCCAUAAUUUCGUUGGAAACGCCUUUGCUGGGUUCUAGUCAUCUCAUUGAAGGGUAUCUCUUUCCCUGCACUGUACUGGAAUGAAUGUCAUACAUUCGGUCAGUGAGGUUGCGGCCUGAAUGUUCUCCCACUAUUUACUGAUUUGAACUGCCUCUCAAAAGGCUGUCCUCUAUAGAAUGAUGUACCUCGCCCUCUACCAGGCUGAGUGUUUGGGAAGAAAGUAGGGCGAUGAGGAUGCUACCAUAUCCCUGGUUUUUCCGUGUUCCCACUCACUUCUCUUUUACAUCUUGCACAUAGGACGUCUUCGUCCUUUUUUGGCUCCUUUCCCUUGAUUCGUUCACAGACGCUGGGAUGUGGUCCAAGGUCCUCUUCUCCAUCAUCUAUGACCAACUUAAAUUUUGGCAACUUGUUUUUGAAGCCAGACGUCACCAUGUUCACUCCAAGUGGCUGUGGAAAAGGAUUUUCAUCCACUGCCAUCUUCUUCUUAUCGUCGAACGUAAUUCGUCCUGAUUCAAUGGCAUCCUACAACACAUGGAAAAAAACCAAGCAAUUGUUAGUCAAAUGUGACCAUGCAUUAUGCCACUUACAAUAUUUUUUACCCUUAAUUUGUUCCGGGUUUGUCAAUUUAUGUUUAUCGCUCAGUUUUGGUUACAUCGAACGAGAACGUUCUAACUUUUAUGUUUCCAUUUUUCAUGGGCUCAUCCUUGUUCGAUGGUCUAGGCUUAGCCAUUAUAGGACAAGUAUACGUGUCUUCUUUGACCAAUUUGGCCAAACACAUUUCGGCUUGAUCGUAUGACUCGUCGCUGAUGGUAUGAACGUCAAAAUUUGGGUCUUUGUAAUAAGUCCCUUUACUAGAAUUUUUCAUCUGCUCUUCUUCUCUUAUCAGUCGUUCAUACCUAAUCACAUUCGCACUCAACUAGAAAAGGUCAGGAAAUUCCUUGUCUUGGAAUUUCUUUUUUAAAUCAAAGCUCAAGCAACCCUGAGCGAUUUUGACAAAUUCUUUUUCGGGCAGAGAUACAAAACACUUGCUUCUUGCUACCUUGAACCUUUGGAGAAAACUUUCUGCCCAUUCGUUUGGCAUUUGACGUAGAUUCGCCAAAUCAGCCAAAGUAACUUCAGACUCAGUUUUAUAAAACUGAGCGUGGAAUAAUUGUUCCAAUUGUUGCUAUGUUUGAACAGAGUUCGCUGGCAAGUUGAUGAACCAGGAGAAAGCUACUCCUGUUAAUGAACUAGGGAAAAGCCUCAUUCUAUGGUAAUCAGUUACAUCACCACUUUGCAAUGUAAAUCGCCCUAUAUGUUCUAGAGUAGACACCUCCCCUAAACCGGCAAAUAGUGAGAAUUCUGGCACUUUAUACCCUCUAGGCCAUGGAUAUGCUUGGUCUACUCAAUCAGGAUAUGGCUUUAUAUAAGUCGGUCUAAUAACAGGACGUACCCCAAAAGCCAUCUGAUCCUGUACGAUUUCCAUAAUCUGAUUCCUCAACAUGACGUUGGGUCAUAUAGAAUUCCUACAUGUUGGUUAAUCGAUUGAUUUGCAUGAGACCUGAUGUUUGGCCCUUGAUUGGCAACAAAGUUACCAUGAUUUGGGCCAUUACCAUUAGCCUGAACAUCUAUUCCCUCAUUAACACGUGGGGUAUUCGGUCCAUUGUUUAGGACAUUAUCUUUUACAUUUGGAUUACCCCCAAGUUAGGCGUACCACUACCAUUGUUCUGAUUUGGCAUUGCACCACCCCCUUGGUUUGAAGUAGAGGGACCAAAAAGUGGUUCUACCCCUUGAUUUGGACUUAAGACUGAGGGAUUAUGUCCCACAAUUGUCCUAGUUUGAAAGUGGUUUGCAAGAGGCAGAACCGGUUGACAUAUUUGGCCUACUAACUUAUUCAUUAUUUCGUUCAAAGUGUUUAAUUAUUUGGCCAUGUUGUCAUAAUGUGCAUUCCCAUUUUGGAUAAAUCUUUCCAUAUUAUGAAUAUUUCGAAGAUUUACCUGUUCAACGACAUCUUGCGUGAGUUCUCCAAGUAGUGCAUGCAUAGUUCGAGGACUCAACUCUGUCAUUGGUUCGUAACGACUGUUACUGCUCUGAUUCUGUCCAUCUAUUCGUGGAGAGGCAUGCUGCUCCUCAUAUCGCUCGAUUACAGACUGGACCCCUCCCUGACUUGCUGGUUCCUUGUCGGAUCUCUGAGGUAUAUUGUUUCACCUUUUGUAUUUUCAACACCAAACACCACUGUCCCACCAGGUGUGCCAAAUUGUUUCGCGUGGGUUCGUCGCUAACAAUUAAAAAGGGAUCAGACGGUUGUGUAAGGGACAAACCUCUUGAGACAAAGUCCUAAAAAUGGGUGUUUUUAUUGGCAAUGACUUUACAAUCGGAAAGCAAAAACAGAAUGCCUCCAAGGGGCGCAAGCACACGAGUUACUGAAAGAAGUGUUUAAAUCUAAACUAAGAAAUUUAAAGUUACAUAUUCUCUAUUCGAGAGUUUUUUGAUUCGGUCCUUUUACUCUAUGUCUUUUCUUCCUUUUAUACUCACUGGAUAAUCUCUUUGUGAUCAACCGCCUAAAAACUGCUUGAUCAUUCCAUAACUACCCACUUUCCUCGUAAUGGCCAACUUGUCAUGGAACUGCCUUUUUUAACUGCUGUCAUUACUCUUUGCCGUUCAACUGCCUUCAAUUGAAUUCCUUGAAUCGUGGAACGUGAUAGGGCUGCUUAAUAACUGCUUUGAUAACUGCAUUUCUUGAUAACCAUAACACUUCAUAUUUGCUAAGACCUUGGGCGACUCGGAGUCUUGGGCUAGAAUAGAGCAGCAGCUCUGGGCGAUUGCAUGGCACUCCAUUCGCUCAGAUCCUGGGUGACUUGCAAGCUUGGCGAUUGUGUUACUGCAUUCAUGGGCCUCCCUAUUUGGGCUUUCAUCCUGAAUUGUCUGAUUGGGCUUCGUUCUUUGGGCUAUUGGGCUAUCUGAUUUGGGGAUCCUCCAAUUGGGCUUCAUUCCUUGGGCCGUUCGAUUUGGGCUAAAUUUUUAUGUGUCAACAGGAAGCUUUGAGAAGAAAACAACAUGUCAAAGUUGAAGAAAAAUACACACGCUACCGCCACGGAUUAACAAAGGCUGGUGCUUCUGCUUCUCGUCCGUGACUUCGCACAAGCUUUACCGCCAUGGAGAUUCGUGUUUCUGCUUCAAAU